UUUAAAAUUAGCUGCAACAGUAACUGCAAAAUACGGCAUCUAUAUUUCACUUUGGAAUGUUCAAAACCUCUUGAACCCCUCCAGCUGCUUUGAGGAAGGAAGGAUAAAAAAAUGGUAGCUAUAUUACAUAUUGAUCUCUCAGUAGCGUUCUCCGUUGUGCUUCCAACUGUCCCGGUCCCGUAUGUUAUAUCAAUAUUAUUAUUUUCAUAGUGCUGAUGUGGAGCAAAAGAUGAAAGGAAGUUGUUCAGUUUAGAUGUAAUGAUCCUGGAAUGGGAGGGGGGGAUCCAUGUGCUUGCUUGCUUUCCCUUCAACUCCUUCUUUCUUGCAUUCUACUUCAGCAACGUUAUCUUGAGCUAAAAGUGCUUGGUAAGUUAAAGAGAUAGCCAGGCAGUGACAUUCUUCUUCUUCUUCUUCUUCUUCUUCUUCUUCUUCUCCUUCUUCUCCUUCUUCUUCCCCUUCUCCUUCUCCUUCUCCUUCUCCUUCUCCUUCUCCUUCUCCUUCUCCUCCUUCUACAGUUUGGGAAACAUUUUUUACAAGUAGCUUCUUGAAUAGAAAUGGGAGAUCCAAUCCUUUCCUCUGCAAGUGCAAUUUUACUGUUAAUGCUAUGGCUGGAGAGCAUACAAUGUAUUCAAUAAAAAGCAGAGUUACCUUUCUGUACAAUUUUGAAACCUGGAAGAUCAGUCUUUCAGGUUCUGCAGGGAGAUUGUGAAAGUAGGACAACUUCCAUUCUGGAUAUUAUAGUUCUAAACUAUGGAGGGUGAUAGUUACAGAUGUAAAUUAUUAUAUAUUUAGUCUUCAUGGAUGAGAUUGAAACAUUUCAAAAAGUUUCUUCCUACGAGUGGGACUACAAGAAAUUAUAUGCAUAUUUCUGAGCUUUUCUGAAGGAAAAUGUAUGAGCAUGAGUGUAAAGAGUGUAAAGAAUUUGUAUUCUGCACAAAAAUGUGUUGCUUUGUGCAAGAAUCUUCUAUUUUGCACAAUAUAAAAUAUUUGUUCUAACUGUUUUCUCUGCAAAGUACCUUUUUUGUACACAAAAGCACAUAUAUUGUAGAAAUGCUGAUUUUAAAAUGCUGGUAUAUUUUUUUUUUGCUCAUAGCAGUUGACAAUGUUUUUCAGUGUACAGGUAUUUGUAUGUUCAGACAUUCUAUUUCAGCGAGGGUAAGAAGGUUGUUGUAGGUUUUUCAGGCUCUUUGGCUGUGUUCCGAAGCUUUUUCUUCCUAAUCUUUCUCCAGUCUCUGUGGCUGGCAUCUUCAGAAGACAGCAGUUAGAAUGUUAGAACUCGUCUGUGUUCUGGUGUAGUGUGUGGAAUAGCUGAGUCCAUCAGAUCCCGGCUGUGAAAGACUUUGAGGAUAAGAUUUGUCCGUACCCAGUGCAGACUCCUUUGAAGUAGAACCCAGUGAUGAAGAAAUUUUAGAAAUGAAACUGAAAGUUAUUCUCAAAGCACUUGAAGGAAACAUUCCAUGCUACAGGAAGUGAAUCUGUCAAAAUCCUAACAUACCUAACAAUAUGGAAAACAAAAUACAGUGGUGCCUUGCAAGAUGAAAAUAAUUUGUUCUGCGAGUCAUGUCGUCUUGCGAAAUUUUCAUCUUGCGAGGCGUGGUUUCCCAUAGGAAUGUACUGAAAUUUAAUCAAUGCAUUCUGUGGGCCAAAAAAGUCUGAAAAAGUCACUUACCAGGUAGGGAGAUGGGGAAGCACCAUCGGAGGAUUGGCGG
ensembl:lncRNA